GACGAACGCUGGCGGCGUGCUUAACACAUGCAAGUCGAACGGAAAGGCCCUGCUGUUUGGGGGUGCUCGAGGGGCGAACGGGUGAGUAACACGUGAGUAACCUGCCCUUGACUUUGGAAUAACUUCAGGAAACUGGGGAUAAUACCGGAUAUGAGCUCCUGCUGCAUGGUGGGGGUUGGAAAGUUUCGGCGGGUGGGGAUGGACUCGCGGCUUAUCAGCUUGUUGGUGGGGUAGUGGCUUACCAAGGCUUUGACGGGUAGCCGGCAUGAGAGGGUGACCGGCCACAUUGGGCCUGAGAUACGGACCAGAGUCCUACGGGAGGCAGUAGUGGGGAAUAUUGCCCAAUGGGCGGAAGCCUGAUGCAGCAACGCCGCGUGCGGGAUGACGGCCUUCGGGUUGUAAACCGCUUUCGCCUGUGACGAAGCGUGAGUGACGGUAAUGGGUAAAGAAGCACCGGCUAACUACGUG
rnacentral:rRNA from 1 species